rnacentral:rRNA from 1 species
UACGUAGGGUGCGAGCGUUAAUCGGAAUUACUGGGCGUAAAGGGCGCGUAGGCGGUCAGCACAAGUCAGUUGUGAAAUCUCCGGGCUUAACUCGGAAAGGUCAACUGAUACUGUGCGACUAGAGUGCAGAAGGGGCAACUGGAAUUCUCGGUGUAGCGGUGAAAUGCGCAGAUAUCAGGAGGAACACCGGUGGCGAAGGCGGUUCUCUGGGCAUGUCCUGACGCUGAGGAGCGAAAGUGUGGGGAGCGAACAGG